rnacentral:rRNA from 1 species
UGGGGAAUAUUGCACAAUGGGCGAAAGCCUGAUGCAGCGACGCCGCGUGAGGGAUGACGGCCUUCGGGUUGUAAACCUCUUUCAGUAGGGACGAAGCGCAAGUGACGGUACCUGCAGAAGAAGCACCGGCUAACUACGUGCCAGCAGCCGCGGUAAUACGUAGGUUGCGAGCGUUGUCCGGAAUUACUGGGCGUAAAGAGCUCGUAGGCGGUUUGUCACGUCGUCUGUGAAAUCCUAGGGCUUAACCCUGGACGUGCAGGCGAUACGGGCUGACUUGAGUACUACAGGGGAGACUGGAAUUUCUGGUGUAGCGGUGGAAUGCACAGAUAUCAGGAAGAACACCGAUGGCGAAGGCAGGUCUCUGGGUAGUAACUGACGCUGAGGAGCGAAAGCAUGGGUAGCGAACAGG